UGAUUUAACAACCUUGCCAGUGGUCAAAGGAGCAGAACAUCAGUAUGAAGCCGAAGAAGAAAAUGCUGUGUGAAGAAACACAUCCUACACUGUUAGAAAUGGAAAACAAAUGGAGUUGGAAAAGUCUCCCCCUGUCCCGAGGCCCCGUUUCACUGGCUGCUUUCCCAAGGACUCGCUGACCUUGGCAAGAAUGUGAUGCAGUAUUUCUGUCACUGCAAAGGAAUGGGACAUCAGGUUGUUGGAGCCACACACACAUGGUUUAUUUUACUGUUGACAUCUAAAGUAGCUAAGAACCUAACUCUAAAGAUCAAACCUGAAAUUCUAAUUAACAAUGAGAGAUUGAAAGGUGUACAUGUAAAAUGCUCUGAUGCUCUCUGUCUGUAAAAUCAGCAGCCUCGGUCGAUUCUGUCAGGAGCGACAAAGUGGUCUUCACAGAGAAACUGGGUGCUUUAAUGGUAAUGCAACUGGAAGCAUCAGAGAUGCAAAUUCCAUUUUGUUGCACCAGCAAAGGUAGGCUGAACACAGAUGGGAAAAGCAUAUUCUCUGGCUGUGACUUUUACCUGAUCAUGCUAGCAGCAGAGAAACCCAAGAGGAUGUUUGGACCACAGAUCAUAACAGCCUUUCCUUCUACAUAUUUCCUUUAAUUGUCAGAUAUCUCUAUCUUGUACAAACUAUAGAUAAUAGGCAGUCGGGUUUGCCUGUCCCCCAAUUUUUUUGGAAAUUUAGGUAUGGACAACCCAGGUAAGAAGCAAGAAAGUAUCAAAGCUUGAUUGUUGUAGUGAUAGGACCAGACCUAACUCCUCUUUCACUGCAUCUUGAAUUGUAAGAGAGAAAAACAUUUUGAGUAUCCGUAGGAGCCCUUAGAUGAUAAGAACAUUUUCCUCAACCUUGUUUUCUUGCUUCAUUUACAAAUGUAUGGCAUCUCUGCCUUGUCUGUCCCAUUUGAUCUCACUAUGGCUCCCCACAAUCAAGGGCUGCUUCCUUCAUGUCCCACUGCUUGGCUUUUGAGAAAUCCAGUAACAGCUCAUAUUCUUUCUUUGCUCACAGAAAGUUAAAUAGCUGUGUCUUUUUUUUGCAUUGACAACUUAUUGAUCAAGAAAAUGUCAAAACAGAGAGAAAGAAACGACAUUUUAGUACAACAAAAUUCAAUAAUCCUUUUUGUGAUAUUUUCCUGAGCUGGGGAAUACUAAUACGGAAUGAAGGUGGUGGACAGUAACUGAGAUAUGGCAGUGGAAUAUAACAAAUCCAGAGGAAGGGCUUAGUUUUACUAAAAUGGAUUUAUUAUCUUAUAUCUUUAGUCAUUCUAAGCAAAGUCAAGGAGUAAAAUUGACACCAUAGCUGCUCAUUAUGAAUCAGAAAUCAGAGCUGAGACAGAUUUAUUCCAAAAGUCUGAGACUGGCAAUCCUGAAAGCAGUAGUUUCGUGUGACCUUUUUUAUUUUUAUUUUUAAAUUAUUUCUCUUUUUAGUGACAGACAAAUUUGAAACCCCUUUGAAUUCAACUUCUUAGUCCAGUUUGCCAUAGAAAGCAUGUGACGAGAUAUCAGCUGCCCCGCUCCUGAGCGAUGCAAAGACACAAGGAGCAGUUGCGUGCAGAUGCGUAGCCAGGCACGUGCAGAGCUGGCUGAGGCACAGAACCCUGCAGCCCCCGCGUACUGCCGGUUCACUCACUCUGCGGGUUACGGUCGCAUAGUUAAGCGUGUCCCUCCUUGAACUUCUUAAAGUUGGAGUUGUCCAGCUAAUUAGUUCUGAUGAGGGCUUCCAGGCUCUGUUCUAAUCUAUUAAAAGUAAGAAAAGACCUUCC